rnacentral:snRNA from 1 species
ACUCAUACCUGGCAGGGGAGAUACCAUGAUCAUGAAAGUGGUUUUCCCAGGAUGAGGCUCAUCCAUUGCACUUCGGGUGUGCUAAUGCGGGAAAUUCAACUGCAUAAUUUGUGGUAGUAGGGGACUGUGUUUUCAGUUUCCCCUG